rnacentral:lncRNA from 1 species
UCUGUUAAAUGAAAUUGAUCACAUGUAUAUGCUUAUAUACAACUGUGGAUAUAUAUAUAUAUAUAUAUAUAAUAUACACAAAUGUAUACGCAUUUUCUUUUUUUUAGGUAUAUAUGGAAUAGUAUUAUCUUUCCCUUUAACGUACUGCUUAUCAACAACAGAAAGUAGUUCUAGUUCAGCAGGAAUUAUUGGCAUGUUUUUUUCUGAAGUUAUACUAAUGACUAAUUUUAAUGUAGAUAAAAUUGGUAUUAGUGUACAUUUAUUUUGUUUUUUUCUUUUGUUACUUUUUCUUAAAUAUACCUUAAAUACCACCAGCAUUAAUAUUUAUAGUCAUUUUUUUGGUUUCACGGGAGGAUUUGUAAUUGGUACAAUUUUAAAAGGGAACCAACUGAAAUACUUUAUAAAGCACAGUUUGUUAAUUAAAAUAUUAUGUUCACUUUUUUUGGUAUUGAGUCUAGCCACAUCUAUUUUUAUUUCCAUGAAACAUGCAUAUAUAUGUUAAUAUGAUUUUUCAAAAAUAAUUAAUUAAUGCACAUUUAAUUAAGAUAUUAUACACAUAUACAUAUAUAUUUUACGAUAAUAUUUUUAGGCUUUAUAGAUUUCUUUUUUUUUUCUUUUUAUAUAUUUUAAAAUCUGUAUUUAUUAAUGGUUUUAAAGUUUAUGUUGCAUUAAGUUACUUUCCUCUUUUAACCAUCUUUAUAUCUUUAUAUCUUUAUUUAUAUAUAUACAUAAAUUUGUUAAUAUGCUGAUGAUUAUAACCUCAAUCAUGUUGAUAUGUAUAUAAUAUUUACAGGGUAAAGGUUUUUUUUGUCUUCAUUUUUUUUUUUUUUACUUUUUUUAGUAAGAUGGAAAAAAAUUAUUGAUGUAUUUUUUCCAUAUUAUAUGUUUUCUUAUUACUUAGUUAAAAAAUUAAUAUUUUUUUUUUUCUUAAUUGAUGUGAAUUAAUCUAAAUUCGUAUUUGUAAUUUUUCCACUUUAUGUUAUAAUUAUUAAUUUAUUAAAACUAUUUUUAAUUCAUCAUUAUGAAAAAAUAACACUUGUAUGUAUGGAUAAAUAAUAAAAAUUAAAUAAAACCAGUUUUUUUUUUUUUU